AUCGAACGAGAAAGUCCCUUCGGCGGCGAUUAAAGUGGCGAACGGGUGAGUAACGCGUACAUAACAUGCCUUCAGGUGGCGGAUAGCCAACCGAAUGGUUGGAUAAUACCGCAUAAGACCACAGUAUCUGGG
rnacentral:rRNA from 1 species